rnacentral:pre_miRNA from 1 species
GAAAAAAUAAAUCUUUAGCUUUUAUAUACGAUGUUUGACUCUUCAUUUUAUUUAAAUUUUUUUAUGAUUAAUAUUUUUAUUUUUAUUAGAUGAUAAAUUAUAAAUAAUACUUUACGUCUGACUAGUUUUAUUAAAACUUUUUUAAAAUUUUUUAAACAAGACGGAUGGUCAAACGUUAAACACAUGAACCAAAAGUUUGCCCUUAGA